rnacentral:rRNA from 1 species
UACAGAGGUCUCAAGCGUUUGUUCGGAUUCAUUGGGCGUAAAGAGCGCGUAGGCGGUCCGAUAAGUCGGCUGUGAAAGUCAGGGGCUCAACCCUUGAAAGCCGGCCGAUACUGUCGGACUAGAGUCCGGAAGAGGCAAGUGGAAUUCCCGGUGUAGCGGUGAAAUGCGCAGAUAUCGGGAGGAACACCAAUGGCGAAGGCGGCCCUCUGGUCCAGUACUGACACUCAAGUGCGAAAGCGUGGGGAGCAAACAGG